GCCGUUCUAGUAUAGUGGUGAGUACGCAUCGUUGUGGCCGAUGAGACCCAGGUUCGAUUCCUGGGAGCGGCA
rfam:Pichia membranifaciens NRRL Y-2026 unplaced genomic scaffold PICMEscaffold_1, whole genome shotgun sequence.